GGGUGAUGAACGAAAUGUGAACCCU
rnacentral:siRNA from 1 species